rnacentral:snRNA from 1 species
GCUUUGUUGAGCCGUCACACGGA